ensembl:lncRNA
UGCCUGGAGGAUCCAGCUGUGCCCCCAGAUGUUGAGGGCCCCCAGGAACACCUUCCCUGCUCCUGAAAUGCCCCAGAUGUGAUCGGGGAGGGGCCAGAUCCAGAUGUUGGGGACCUGAAAAUGCCCAAAGUACCCCAAAACACCUCAGAGGCUCCAGAUGUGGCAGCAGAAACCCCAAAUCCAGAUGUGCUAUGGGCCAGAAAUGGGCACCGGACGCUGCAGGUGGACAGUGACACAGAUGUGGAGGAGGAGGGGCCAAGCCCCGAUGCUGGGCCACAGAAAUGGCUUAAAAUGACCCAAACUGUGCCUGAAACUCCAGAUGUGAGGCUAAAAACCCCAAAUCCAGAUGUUCCAUGGCUUAAAAGUGGGCGUGGCACGCUGCUGGUGGAGAGCGACACAGAUGUGGAGCAGGAGGAGGCCGAUCCAGAAGUGGAGCCCCCAGAACGGCUGAAAAUUACCCAGAACAUUCCGGAAACGCCAGAUGUUGCAGGAAAGACCCCAAAUCCAGAUGUUUCAGGCCCAAAAGUACGACACAGGAUGGAGCUGGUGGACAGUGACACAGAUGUGGACGAGGAUCCAGAUGUGCAGCCCCAGAAAAGGCUUAAAGUGACCCAAAACGUGCCUGGAAUUCCAGAUGUGGAGGCGGAAACCCCAAGUCCAGCUGUGAGGGCGCCCAAAAUUGGACACUGGGUAAUCCUGAUGGACAGCGACACAGAUGUGGAGGGGGAGGAGGAGAAUCCAGAUGUGCAGCCCCAAAAGCAACUCAGAAUGCCCCAAAAUGUGUCCGAAACUCCAGAUGUGGCAGCCAAACUCCUGAAUCCAGAUGUUUCGGGCCCAAAGCUCCAUUCUCAGAUGCUGCUGGUGGACAGUGAUACAGAUGUGGAAGACGAAGUGAACCCAGAUGUGCAGCCCCCUAAAAGGCUCAAAGUGACCCAAAACGUGCACAGAAAUCCAGAUGUGGAGGUGGCGACCCCAAAUCCAGCUGUGGAAAGCCCCAAAAUUGGCCACCAGACACUGGUGGAGGACAGCGACACAGAUGUGGAGGAUGAUCCAGAUGUGCAGCCCCCAAAAAGGCUCAGAAGGACUCAGCACUUGCCCAAAGCUCCAGCUGUGCGACGGGGAACGCAAAAUCCAGAUGUUCCAGCCCCCACAAUCAGGAGUCAGAUGCUGCUGCUGGACAGCAACACAGAUGUGGAGGAGGAUCCAGAUGUGCAGCCCCUGAAACAGCUCAGAGCGGCCCAAAACGUCCCCAAAACUCCAGAUGUGGCUGCGAAGCCCCCACAUCCAGAUGUUUCAGGCCCUGAAGUCAGGUGCCAGGCAUUCCUGGUGGACAGUGACACAGAUGUGGAGGAGGAGGUGAGUCCAGAUGCUGAGACCCUAGAAAAGCUCGGAAUGACCCAAAAUGUGCCUGAAAGUCCAGAUGUGGUGGCACAGACCCCAAGCCCAGAUGUUGGAAUGACCCAAAAUGGGUGUCGGGCACUGCUGGUGGACAGUGACACAGAUGUGGAGGAGGAUGAGGUGAAUCCAGAUGUUCGUCAUUCAAAAAGAUGGAAAAUUCCUCAAAAUGUGCCCCAAACUCCAGAUGUGCCCCCACAGCCCCCAAAUCCAGCUGUGAAGAGGUCACGGAGGGGUCACGGGGCGCUGCUGGAUGACAGCGACACAGAUGUGGAAGAGGAGGCAAAUCCAGAUGUUGGAUCCUUAAAAAGAUUGAAACCAGCCCCAAAUGUGCCUGAAACUCCAGAUGUGAGGUUGAAAAAUCCAGAUGUUGGGAGGCUCCAAGAGACCCAAACCGUGGCCGAGACGCCAGAUGCGGAGGGAGAGGAGGAAGGGUGGGAUCCAGAUGUGGCCACCCAGCUGUUCCUGCCCCCAAAUCCAGAUGUGGGGGAGGCCGAGGCGGACCCAGAUGUUGGGAGCCCAGAACGGCUCAAAAUGACCCAGAAGCCACCGGAAAUUCCAGAUGUGGAGGAGGAAACCCCAGAUCCGGGUGAGGAGGAAGAACAGGAGUCAGAUCCAGAUGUGGCCACCCAGCUGUUCCUGCCUUCUCCAGAUGCUGGGAGCCCAGAAGGCCCCAAAACGGCACCGAAGGACCCCAAAGUUCCAGAUGUAGAGGGGCUGCCCUCUCUGGAUCCAGAUGUGGCCACACAGCUGUUCCUGCCCCCGCAUCCAGGUGUGGAGGACAGCCUAAAUCCAGAUGUUCUGGGUCCAAAACAAUCCAAAAUGGCCUCAAAUGACCCCAAAAUUCCCGCUGUGAGGGCGGAGACCCCAGAUCCAGAUGUGGAGGGGGAGGAGGACUUGGAUGUGGCCACCCAGCUGUUCCUGCCCCCUGAUCCAGAUGUGCAGGGGGAAGGACCCUCAGAACCAGGUGCUGGGUCCCCAAACCCACCCAAAAGUCCCCUAAACCUGCCCGAAAUUCCAGAUGUGGACAUGGAGAGACCAAAUCCAGAUGUGGGAGAGCCACUGAGGGGCCACAGGACAUUGCUGGGGGAUGCUGAUCCAGAUGUGGGGAAGGCAGGCCCAAAUCCAGAUGUGGCAGCCUCAGAAAGACCCCAAAUGGCCCCGGAAGUCCCUGAAAUUCCAGAUGUGGAGGUGGACACCCCAAGUCCAGAUGUGGAUGGGCUGGGGAGCCCUGGCCUGAAUCCAGAUGUGGCCACCCAGCUGUUCCUGCCCCCUGCCCCAGAUGUGGAACCCCUGGAAAGACCCGAAAGGGCCCCGGACCAGCCCCAGGUUCCAGAUGUGGAGGAGGCGGCCCCAAAUCCAGAUGUGGAGGGUCCCCCAAGCCCCGCCCAGGAGGAAGCAGAAGCUCCGCCCACCCCGCAGGUGCGGCGCAGUCGGCGAUUGGCCCUGAGUGGAGGGGGCGGAGCCUCACGUGGCCCCGCCCACACCCAGAACGGGCAUGGUCAAGGCUCCAAGCCACGCCCCACACACAAGCCACGCCCCCAGAGGGGGCAGGACCAAUCAGCGGCAGUGCUUGAAGAGGCCACACCCUCUGUGCCCAUAAUAGGAAAUGGGCGGGGCUCUGUGUCAGCCCCGCCCCCAGAGGAGGAGGAGCCAACAGAGGGUGCCAAGCGCAGGCUCCGCCCCCGGGCAGCACCAGGCCCCGCCCAGAUCCGGGUAAGGACCAAUAGGAACCAGUACAGACCAGUACAGACCAGUACAGACCAGUACAGAGCCCUCCCAGCUGCUGUUCCUGGGACUGGUGGCACCUGGGCAUGUCCCCAAAAUGUCCCCAAGGUGUCCCCGAGUCCCCCAGGGAUGUCCCUGCUGUGUCCCCAAACCUGUCCCCA